rnacentral:rRNA from 1 species
AGAGUUUGAUCCUGGCUCAGAACGAACGCUGGCGGCGUGYCUAACACAUGCAAGUCGAACGAGAAUCYGUGAGCUUGCAUUCCCGUGAGAGGGGAGCGGAGACUCGACUUAGUGGCACCGUUCGAUCCAUCUAGCCCUCUCGUGCGCGWGGCGAUAACUGUCCGAAAGGACUAGCUAAUACCCAGAUACAUGYUGA